GUGUGUUUGCCCGCUGCUGUCUCGGUCUGGCACAUGAAGAACCACAGCGGACGGAUCGGAGGCGCCUGGCGGCAGGCUCCCCCUCCCUUCAGCCUCCUCCUCGUUCACUCUUGGCUUUAUCAAGGUCAUCUGGCCCAGACGAACUGCUGCCACAUGCCACCCGCAUCUCAUGUGUAGCAUCAGCGCCUCUGUCUGGACAAACGCAGACCCCACACACAGCAGAACUGCACGCAGCGGCCCGUUAUUCAUCACUAAAGAGAGAGAGGACGAGGAAGGCCGAACCGAUAAGACAGGGAUGAGUGAUCCAAUUUCUUCAGCAGCGGAAGCGUGUCGUGGAGAUAGCCUUCACUUACGGCACACACACCUGAUGCCCCUCCUGGGGACAAACGGCAGGACGGCCCAUUAGAGAGAAAGUGUUGCCUGGACUCAGAAAUGGUUUUACAGCGGAGAAAAACAUCAUCCUUGCCUACAGGACUGUAGAUGGACAGUCAUUUGCCGUGACUUUUCCCUCCACGUCUGCUUGAGAAGUGACUAAAUGGAGCCGCUGAA